rnacentral:rRNA from 1 species
CGUUGCUUCGGCGGGCCGUCCCGCGGCGCGCCCACGUGGCGUGACCCGGACCCAGGCGCCCGCCGGGGACACCAAACUCUUGUCUUCCAGUGUCUCCUCUGAGUGGCAUAAGCAAAAAUAAAAAAAACUUUCAGCAACGGAUCUCUUGGUUCUGGCAUCGAUGAAGAACGCAGCGAAAUGCGAUAAGUAAUGUGAAUUGCAGAAUUCAGUGAAUCAUCGAAUCUUUGAACGCACAUUGCGCCCGCCAGUAUUCUGGCGGGCAUGCCUGUCUGAGCGUCAUUUCAACCCUCAGCCCCCGCUCGCGGGGCGCUGGCGUUGGGGAUCGGCCGUCCUCGCGGCGGCCGGCCCCGAAACACAGUGGCGGUCUCCUGCAGACUCCCCUGCGUAGUAGCACUACCUCGCAGAAGGGACGAGCGGGCUGGCCACGCCGUAAAACCCCCAACUCUUCAAGGUUGACCUCAGAUCAGGUAGGAAUACCCGCUGAACUUAAGCAUAUCAAUAAGCGGAGG